AGUGAAUAGAUACCCGGGUAGUCCCAGCUGUAAACGAUGCAGACUCGGUGAUGGACUAGCUUAAAUGCUAGUCCAGUGCCGCAGGGAAGCCGUUAAGUCUGCCGCCUGGGUAGUACGGUCGCAAGACUGAAACUUAAAGGAAUUGGCGGGGAGGCACCACCAAGGGGUAGGAAGACCUCGCGGUUCGUAAUUAGGUAGGUCAACCGACCGGGAACGUACUUACCGGGGGUCCGGGACAGCAGAGUGAAGGUACGAAGACUGAAGAACUUUACUUAGACAAGACUGAGAGGAGGUGCAUGG
rnacentral:rRNA from 1 species